ACUCCUACGGGAGGCAGCAGUGGGGAAUAUUGCACAAUGGGGGGAAACCCCUGAUGCAGCCAUGCCGCGUGUGUGAAGAAGGCCUUCGGGUUGUAAAGCACUUUCAGUUGUGAGGAAAGGUUAGUCGCUAAUAUCGCUAGCUGUGACGUUAGCAACAGAAGAAGCACCGGCUAACUCCGUGCCAGCAGCCGCGGUAAUACGGAGGGUGCGAGCGUUAAUCGGAAUUACUGGGCGUAAAAGCGCGUGUAGGUGGCUUGUUAAGCCAGAUGUGAAAGCCCCGGGCUCAACCUGGGAACUGCAUUUGGAACUGGCAGGCUAGAGUUUUGUAGAGGGUGGUAGAAUUUCAGGUGUAGCGGUGAAAAUGCGUAGAGAU
rnacentral:rRNA from 1 species